rnacentral:rRNA from 1 species
UCCAGACUCCUACGGGAGGCAGCAGUCGGGAAUAUUGCGCAAUGGAGGAAACUCUGACGCAGUGACGCCGCGUAUAGGAAGAAGGUUUUCGGAUUGUAAACUAUUGUCCACAGGGAAGAUAAAAGACUGUACCUGUGAAGAAAGCUCCGGCUAACUACGUGCCAGCAGCCGCGGUAAUACGUAGGGGGCAAGCGUUAUCCGGAUUUACUGGGUGUAAAGGGAGCGUAGACGGCGUGGCAAGUCAGAUGUGAAAGCCCGGGGCUCAACCCCGGGACUGCAUUUGAAACUGUCAGGCUGGAGUGCAGGAGAGGUAAGUGGAAUUCCUAGUGUAGCGGUGAAAUGCGUAGAUAUUAGGAGGAACACCAGUGGCGAAGGCGGCUUACUGGACUGUAACUGACGUUGAGGCUCGAAAGCGUGGGGAGCAAACAGGAUUAGAUACCCGAGUAUUC